AUUGAACGCUGGCGGCAUGCCUUACACAUGCAGGUCGAACGGCAGCAUGAUCUAGCUUGCUAGAUUGAUGGCGAGUGGCGAACGGGUGAGUAAUACAUCGGAACGUGCCCUGUAGUGGGGGAUAACUAGUCGAAAGAUUAGCUAAUACCGCAUACGACCUGAGGGUGAAAGUGGGGGACCGCAAGGCCUCAUGCUAUAGGAGCGGCCGAUGUCUGAUUAGCUAGUUGGUGAGGUAAAGGCUCACCAAGGCGACGAUCAGUAGCUGGUCUGAGAGGACGAUCAGCCACACUGGGACUGAGACACGGCCCAGACUCUUACGGGAGGCAGCAGUGGGGAAUUUUGGACAAUGGGCGAAAGCCUGAUCCAGCAAUGCCGCGUGUGUGAAGAAGGCCUUCGGGUUGUAAAGCACUUUUGUCCGGAAAGAAAUGGCUCUGGUUAAUACCUGGGGUCGAUGACGGUACCGGAAGAAUAAGGACCGGCUAACUACGUG
rnacentral:rRNA from 1 species